rnacentral:rRNA from 1 species
AUUGAACGCUGGCGGCAGGCCUAACACAUGCAAGUCGAACGAGUGGCGGACGGGUUAGUAAUGUCUGUGAAACUGCCUGAUGGAGGGGGAUAACUACUGGACACUGUAACUAAUACCGCAUACCAUCAGAUGUGCCCAGAUGGGAUUAGCUUGUUGGUGGGGUAACGGCCUACCAAGGCGACGAUCCCUAGCUGGUCUGAGAGGAUGACCAGCCACACUGGAACUGAGACACGGUCCAGACUCCUACGUGAGGCAGCAGUGGGGAAUAUUGGACAAUGGGCGAAAGCCUGAUCCAGCCAUGCCGCGUGUGUGAAGAAGGUCUUCGGAUUGUAAAGCACUUUAAGUUGGGAGGCGUUACCAACAGAAUAAGCACCGGCUAACUUCGUGCCAGCAGCCGCGGUAAUUC